GACGAACGCUGGCGGCGUGCUUAACACAUGCAAGUCGAACGGAAAGGCCUCUUUCGGGGGGUACUCGAGUGGCGAACGGGUGAGUAACACGUGAGUAACCUGCCCUUGACUUUGGGAUAACUUCCGGCAACUGGGGCUAAUACCGGCUAGGAGCUCCUGCUGCAUGGUGGGGGUUGGAAAGUUUCGGCGUUUGGGGAUGGACUCGCGGCUUAUCAGCUUGUUGGUGGGGUAGUGGAUUACCAAGGCUUUGACGGGUAGCCGGACUGAGAGGGUGACCGGCCACAUUGGGACUGAGAGGAGGCCCAGACACCUAAGGGAGGGAGAAGUGGGGAAGAUUGAACAAUGGGUGGAAGCCGGAUGCAGCAACGCCGUGGGCGGGAUGACGGUCUUCGGGUGGUAAACCGCAUUCGCACAUGACGAAGCUUUGUGUGACGGUAGUGGGUAAAGAAGCACCGGCUAACUACGUG
rnacentral:rRNA from 1 species